UUAGGCGGGAUGUGAAAUCCAAGGGCUCAACCCUUGAACUGCAUUUCGAACUGGCAGACUUGAGAGUGGGAGAGGAAGCUGGAAUUCCUAGUGUAGGAGUGAAAUCCGUAGAUAUUAGGAGGAACACCAAUGGCGAAGGCAGGCUUCUGGCCCAUUUCUGACGCUGAGGCACGAAAGCGUGGGGAGCGAACGGGAUUAGAUACCCCGGUAGUCCACGCCGUAAACUAUGGAUGCUA
rnacentral:rRNA from 1 species